UGCAGAGUGGGCAUGCCCCAUCACAAGGGCCACCCAGAACUGGCUCAACUCCCAUCAAGCCAAGUUCCCGGAGGUGAUCACCCAGCUCGUCAUGCUAGAGCUCUUUUUCAAUGGGCUCCCCAACAACAAGGCCACUUUCUGCGCCUACCAUGGUGACCAUGGGUAACGGGGAAUCAGGGUUCGAUUCCUGAGAGGGAGCCUGAGAAACGGCUACCACAUGCAAGGAAGGCAGAAGACGCACAAAUGACCCACUCCCGACGCGGGGAGGUAGUGACG